rnacentral:rRNA from 1 species
UGGGGAAUUUUGCGCAAUGGGCGCAAGCCUGAUGCAGCCAUGCCGCGUGAGUGAUGAAGGCCCUAGGGUUGUAAAGCUCUUUCAGUGGGGAAGAUAAUGACGGUACCCACAGAAGAAGCCCCGGCUAACUCCGUGCCAGCAGCCGCGGUAAUACGGAGGGGGCUAGCGUUGUUCGGAAUUACUGGGCGUAAAGCGCACGUAGGCGGGUUGAUUAGUCGGGGGUGAAAGCCCGGGGCUUAACCUCGGAAUUGCCUUAGAUUCUGUCAGCCUAGAGUCCGAGGGAGGUGAGUGGAAUUCCCAGUGUAGAGGUGAAAUUCGUAGAUAUUGGGAAGAACACCAGUGGCGAAGGCGGCUCACUGGCUCGGUACUGACGCUGAGGUGCGAAAGCGUGGGGAGCAAACAGGAUUAGAUACCCGCGUAGUCC